rnacentral:lncRNA from 1 species
UUGGCUCUUGAGAGACCUUGGCAGUGCUUGGAACAUUUUAUUUUUUUUUGAAGGGAAUCUGGCACUAUUUGGUGAAACCCAUUCAGGUCCACUCUUAGGCAGGGAACGUGUCCAAAGCGUGGGCAACUGACGACAAUCAGUGCUUUGAGAUCAAAGGAGCCAUGCUUUAUCUGUUGACGCCUGAGAACAUGAUCAGAGGGAACAGGUUGGGCAAUGGAAACUGUCAGAAAGUGAGACUCAAGCCCAGGGGAUAUGCUGUCGGCCACCUCAAGCCCAGGCAGGUAGGAUAAUCGGCCCCACAGUCGCCAACAGGAUGACCAGCUGUCUGUCAGCACUGGGUGCUCUUGCUAUUCCCUAAGAGC